rnacentral:lncRNA from 1 species
GACUAUGGUAAGCUGACUACUGCACUAGCUGCCACGUGGUGCGAUCCUUUCACAAGAAGCAGUCUAAUUGCCCAAGAAGUGAUUACCUUCUUCCCAUCUGAUGUCUUGUGAUAAGAUAAUAUAUUAGCUUGGAUGUGGCCAUUAGCUUGAACUAUGUGUAGGAGCCCAUGUGCCUUCACAAGCCCAGCAUCAAGAAUUAAUCGAUCUCUCUACUGCAACCAUGUGCACAA